rnacentral:rRNA from 1 species
AUCCAUAGCCAUAGCACCCUGAGAACGCCCCAUCCCGUCUGAUGUGGGAAGCUAAGCAGGGUCGGGCCCGGUCAGUGCUUGGAUGGGAGACCAGCUGGGAAGCAGGGAACCAUUGAGA